rnacentral:tRNA from 1 species
GGUCCCGUAGAGCAGAGGCAGACUCGCCACCCUGUCAAGGUGGAUACGCCGGUUCGAAUCCGGUCGGGACCG